AUAUAUUUGUAAUGUUUUGGUGUUGCAGUGAAAUAAAAUCAUUGCAAUGAAAAGGGAAUGCGGUUAGAAUCCGCAACAGUACCCGCUGCUGUGAUGCCCGAUCCCGCGUAACGCGGGAUGAUGGUUUUGUGAACUACCUGCCACUGUCCCGAAUACCCGGGAUGGGAAGGCUUCAGAAAACCGGGAUAAGUCAGAAGACCUGCCAUACAUGCCGAUAUUCA
rnacentral:ncRNA from 2 species